rnacentral:rRNA from 1 species
AGCGUACACGGUGGAUGCCCUGGCAGUCAGAGGCGAUGAAGGACGUGCUAAUCUGCGAUAAGCGUCGGUAAGGUGAUAUGAACCGUUAUAACCGGCGAUUUCCGAAUGGGGAAACCCAGUGUGAUUCGUCACACUAUCAUUAACUGAAUCCAUAGGUUAAUGAGGCGAACCGGGGGAACUGAAACAUCUAAGUACCCCGAGGAAAAGAAAUCAACCGAGAUUCCCCCAGUAGCGGCGAGCGAACGGGGAGCAGCCCAGAGCCUGAAUCAGUGUGUGUGUUAGUGGAAGCGUCUGGAAAGGCGCGCGAUACAGGGUGACAGCCCCGUACACAAAAAUGCACAUGCUGUGAGCUCGAUGAGUAGGGCGGGACACGUGGUAUCCUGUCUGAAUAUGGGGGGACCAUCCUCCAAGGCUAAAUACUCCUGACUGACCGAUAGUGAACCAGUACCGUGAGGGAAAGGCGAAAAGAACCCCGGCGAGGGGAGUGAAAAAGAACCUGAAACCGUGUACGUACAAGCAGUGGGAGCACGCUUAGGCGUGUGACUGCGUACCUUUUGUAUAAUGGGUCAGCGACUUAUAUUCUGUAGCAAGGUUAACCGAAUAGGGGAGCCGAAGGGAAACCGAGUCUUAACUGGGCGUUAAGUUGCAGGGUAUAGACCCGAAACCCGGUGAUCUAGCCAUGGGCAGGUUGAAGGUUGGGUAACACUAACUGGAGGACCGAACCGACUAAUGUUGAAAAAUUAGCGGAUGACUUGUGGCUGGGGGUGAAAGGCCAAUCAAACCGGGAGAUAGCUGGUUCUCCCCGAAAGCUAUUUAGGUAGCGCCUCGUGAAUUCAUCUCCGGGGGUAGAGCACUGUUUCGGCAAGGGGGUCAUCCCGACUUACCAACCCGAUGCAAACUGCGAAUACCGGAGAAUGUUAUCACGGGAGACACACGGCGGGUGCUAACGUCCGUCGUGAAGAGGGAAACAACCCAGACCGCCAGCUAAGGUCCCAAAGUCAUGGUUAAGUGGGAAACGAUGUGGGAAGGCCCAGACAGCCAGGAUGUUGGCUUAGAAGCAGCCAUCAUUUAAAGAAAGCGUAAUAGCUCACUGGUCGAGUCGGCCUGCGCGGAAGAUGUAACGGGGCUAAACCAUGCACCGAAGCUGCGGCAGCGACGCUUAUGCGUUGUUGGGUAGGGGAGCGUUCUGUAAGCCUGUGAAGGUGUGCUGUGAGGCAUGCUGGAGGUAUCAGAAGUGCGAAUGCUGACAUAAGUAACGAUAAAGCGGGUGAAAAGCCCGCUCGCCGGAAGACCAAGGGUUCCUGUCCAACGUUAAUCGGGGCAGGGUGAGUCGACCCCUAAGGCGAGGCCGAAAGGCGUAGUCGAUGGGAAACAGGUUAAUAUUCCUGUACUUGGUGUUACUGCGAAGGGGGGACGGAGAAGGCUAUGUUGGCCGGGCGACGGUUGUCCCGGUUUAAGCGUGUAGGCUGGUUUUCCAGGCAAAUCCGGAAAAUCAAGGCUGAGGCGUGAUGACGAGGCACUACGGUGCUGAAGCAACAAAUGCCCUGCUUCCAGGAAAAGCCUCUAAGCAUCAGGUAACAUCAAAUCGUACCCCAAACCGACACAGGUGGUCAGGUAGAGAAUACCAAGGCGCUUGAGAGAACUCGGGUGAAGGAACUAGGCAAAAUGGUGCCGUAACUUCGGGAGAAGGCACGCUGAUAUGUAGGUGAAGUCCCUCGCGGAUGGAGCUGAAAUCAGUCGAAGAUACCAGCUGGCUGCAACUGUUUAUUAAAAACACAGCACUGUGCAAACACGAAAGUGGACGUAUACGGUGUGACGCCUGCCCGGUGCCGGAAGGUUAAUUGAUGGGGUCAGCGCAAGCGAAGCUCUUGAUCGAAGCCCCGGUAAACGGCGGCCGUAACUAUAACGGUCCUAAGGUAGCGAAAUUCCUUGUCGGGUAAGUUCCGACCUGCACGAAUGGCGUAAUGAUGGCCAGGCUGUCUCCACCCGAGACUCAGUGAAAUUGAACUCGCUGUGAAGAUGCAGUGUACCCGCGGCAAGACGGAAAGACCCCGUGAACCUUUACUAUAGCUUGACACUGAACAUUGAGCCUUGAUGUGUAGGAUAGGUGGGAGGCUUAGAAGUGUGGACGCCAGUCUGCAUGGAGCCGACCUUGAAAUACCACCCUUUAAUGUUUGAUGUUCUAACGUUGACCCGUAAUCCGGGUUGCGGACAGUGUCUGGUGGGUAGUUUGACUGGGGCGGUCUCCUCCUAAAGAGUAACGGAGGAGCACGAAGGUUGGCUAAUCCUGGUCGGACAUCAGGAGGUUAGUGCAAUGGCAUAAGCCAGCUUGACUGCGAGCGUGACGGCGCGAGCAGGUGCGAAAGCAGGUCAUAGUGAUCCGGUGGUUCUGAAUGGAAGGGCCAUCGCUCAACGGAUAAAAGGUACUCCGGGGAUAACAGGCUGAUACCGCCCAAGAGUUCAUAUCGACGGCGGUGUUUGGCACCUCGAUGUCGGCUCAUCACAUCCUGGGGCUGAAGUAGGUCCCAAGGGUAUGGCUGUUCGCCAUUUAAAGUGGUACGCGAGCUGGGUUUAGAACGUCGUGAGACAGUUCGGUCCCUAUCUGCCGUGGGCGCUGGAGAACUGAGGGGGGCUGCUCCUAGUACGAGAGGACCGGAGUGGACGCAUCACUGGUGUUCGGGUUGUCAUGCCAAUGGCACUGCCCGGUAGCUAAAUGCGGAAGAGAUAAGUGCUGAAAGCAUCUAAGCACGAAACUUGCCCCGAGAUGAGUUCU